CGCCCGACUCCACCCUUUGUGAACCAAACUUGUUGCUUCGGGGGCGACCCUGCCGACGACUCCGUCGCCGGGCGCCCCCGGAGGUCUUCUAAACACUGCAUCUUUGCGUCGGAGUUUAAAACAAAUUAAACAAAACUUUCAACAACGGAUCUCUUGGUUCUGGCAUCGAUGAAGAACGCAGCGAAAUGCGAUAAGUAAUGUGAAUUGCAGAAUUCAGUGAAUCAUCGAAUCUUUGAACGCACAUUGCGCCCUUUGGUAUUCCGAAGGGCAUGCCUGUUCGAGCGUCAUUUCACCACUCAAGCCUGGCUUGGUAUUGGGCGUCGCGGUGUUCCGCGCGCCUUAAAGUCUUCCGGCUGAGCUGUCCGUCUCUAAGCGUUGUGGAUUUUUCAAUUCGCUUCGGAGUGCGGAUGGCCGCGGCCGUUAAAUCUUUAUUCAAAGG
rnacentral:sRNA from 1 species